rnacentral:rRNA from 1 species
UACAGAGGGUGCGAGCGUUAAUCGGAAUUACUGGGGCGUAAAAGCGUGCGUAGACGGCUAUCUAAGUCGGGUGUGAAAAGCCCCGGGCUCAACCUGGGAAUUGCAUUCGAGACUGAAUAGCUAGGGGUGCGGUAGAGGGAAGCGGAAUUUCCGGUGGUAGCGGGUGAAAUGCGUAGAUAAUCGGAAAGGAACAUCAGUGGCGAAAGGCGGCUUCCUGGACCAGCACCGAACGUUCA